UUGAAAUCUGGCGUCAUUUUGAUGUCCGAGUUGUAAUCUGUAGAGGAGCAUUCGAGUGUAGCUUUGGCUUAAGUUUCUUGGAWCAGGGCGUCAUAGAGGGUGAGAACCCCGUUAACGGCCUUUGUCUUAUGCUCAUGUGAAUCUCCUUCAACGAGUCGAGUUGUUUGGGAAUGCAGCUCUAAAUUGGUGGUAAAUUCCAUCUAAAGCUAAAUACUGGCAAGAGACCGAUAGCGCACAAGUAGAGUGAUCGAAAGAUGAAAAGAACUCUGAACAGAGAGUUAAAUAGUACGUGAAAUUGUUGAAAGGGAAGCACUUGCUACCAGACGCACUUGCAGUCGAUCAACCUCCAUUCUUGGUGGUGCACUCGGUUGUAGGUGGGCCAGCAUCAGUCAUGGCGGUGGGAAAAAGAUCUUGGGAAUGUGGCUUCCUUCGGGGAGUGUUAUAGCCCUUGGUGUAAUGCCACCUGCUAUGACUGAGGACCGCGCUUCGGUGAGGAUGCUGGCAUAAUAGUCGUAAGUGACCCGUCUUGAAACACGGACCAAGGAGUCUAACAUCUAUGCAAGUGUUUGGGUGUUAAAACCCUUACGCGAAAUGAAAGUAAAUGGAGGUGGGAACCGUAAGGUGCACCAUCGACCGAUCCUGAUGUUUUCGGAUGGAUUUGAGUAGGAGCAUAGCUGUUGGGACCCGAAAGAUGGUGAACUAUGCCUGAAUAGGGUGAAGCCAGAGGAAACUCUGGUGGAG
rnacentral:rRNA from 1 species